UGGCCACACUGCAACAGCUGGAGCCAGUUACUGGGCAGGUGUCUGUACUGGUGAUGUGUCACACUCGGGAGUUGGCUUUUCAGAUCAGCAAGGAAUAUGAGCGCUUCUCUAAAUACAUGCCCAAUGUCAAGGUUGCUGUUUUUUUUGGUGGUCUGUCUAUCAAGAAGGAUGAAGAGGUGCUGAAGAAGAACUGCCCGCAUAUCGUCGUGGGGACUCCAGGCCGUAUCCUAGCCCUGGCUCGAAAUAAGAGCCUCAACCUCAAACACAUUAAACACUUUAUUUUGGAUGAAUGUGAUAAGAUGCUUGAACAGCUCGACAUGCGUCGGGAUGUCCAGGAAAUUUUUCGCAUGACCCCCCACGAGAAGCAGGUCAUGAUGUUCAGUGCUACCUUGAGCAAAGAGAUCCGUCCAGUCUGCCGCAAGUUCAUGCAAGAUCCAAUGGAGAUCUUCGUGGAUGAUGAGACGAAGUUGACGCUGCAUGGGUUGCAGCAGUACUACGUGAAACUGAAGGACAACGAGAAGAACCGGAAGCUCUUUGACCUUCUGGAUGUCCUUGAGUUCAACCAGGUGGUGAUCUUUGUGAAGUCUGUGCAGCGGUGCAUUGCCUUGGCCCAGCUACUAGUGGAGCAGAACUUCCCAGCCAUUGCCAUCCACCGUGGGAUGCCCCAGGAGGAGAGGCUUUCUCGGUAUCAGCAGUUUAAAGAUUUUCAACGACGAAUUCUUGUGGCUACCAACCUAUUUGGCCGAGGCAUGGACAUCGAGCGGGUGAACAUUGCUUUUAAUUAUGACAUGCCUGAGGAUUCUGACACCUACCUGCAUCGGGUGGCCAGAGCAGGCCGGUUUGGCACCAAGGGCUUGGCUAUCACAUUUGUGUCCGAUGAGAAUGAUGCCAAGAUCCUCAAUGAUGUGCAGGAUCGCUUUGAGGUCAAUAUUAGUGAGCUGCCUGAUGAGAUAGACAUCUCCUCCUACAUUGAACAGACACGGUAGAAGACUCGCCCAUUUUGGAAUGUGACCGUCUGUCCUUCAGGAGAGGACACCAGGGUGGGGGUGAAGGAGACACUACUGCCCCCACCCCUGACAGCCCCCACCCCAUGGCUUCCAUCUUUUGCAUCACCACCACUCCUGAACCCCCAUUUCUGAUUUGUCAGAAUUUUUUUUUAACAAAACUAAAAAUGAAACACAUGUGUCUGUGGUAUCUAUAA